ACUAAGCGUACACGGUGGAUGCCCUGGCAGUCAGAGGCGAUGAAGGGCGUGCUAAUCUGCGAUAAGCGCCGGUAAGGUGAUAUGAACCGUUAUAACCGGCGAUACCCGAAUGGGGAAACCCAGUGUGAUUCGUCACACUAUCAUUAACUGAAUCCAUAGGUUAAUGAGGCGAACCGGGGGAACUGAAACAUCUAAGUACCCCGAGGAAAAGAAAUCAACCGAGAUUCCCCCAGUAGCGGCGAGCGAACGGGGAGGAGCCCAGAGCCUGAAUCAGCAUGUGUGUUAGUGGAAGCGUCUGGAAAGGCGCGCGAUACAGGGUGACAGCCCCGUACACAAAAGCGCAUGUGCUGUGAGCUCGAUGAGUAGGGCGGGACACGUGGUAUCCUGUCUGAAUAUGGGGGGACCAUCCUCCAAGGCUAAAUACUCCUGACUGACCGAUAGUGAACCAGUACCGUGAGGGAAAGGCGAAAAGAACCCCGGCGAGGGGAGUGAAAAAGAACCUGAAACCGUGUACGUACAAGCAGUGGGAGCACAGGUUUACCUGUGUGACUGCGUACCUUUUGUAUAAUGGGUCAGCGACUUAUAUUCUGUAGCAAGGUUAACCGCAUAGGGGAGCCGGAGGGAAACCGAGUCUUAAUUGGGCGUUAAGUUGCAGGGUAUAGACCCGAAACCCGGUGAUCUAGCCAUGGGCAGGUUGAAGGUUGGGUAACACUAACUGGAGGACCGAACCGACUAAUGUUGAAAAAUUAGCGGAUGACCUGUGGCUGGGGGUGAAAGGCCAAUCAAACCGGGAGAUAGCUGGUUCUCCCCGAAAGCUAUUUAGGUAGCGCCUCGUGAAUUCAUCUCCGGGGGUAGAGCACUGUUUCGGCUAGGGGGCCAUCCCGGCUUACCAACCCGAUGCAAACUGCGAAUACCGGAGAAUGUUAUCACGGGAGACACACGGCGGGUGCUAACGUCCGUCGUGAAGAGGGAAACAACCCAGACCGCCAGCUAAGGUCCCAAAGUCAUGGUUAAGUGGGAAACGAUGUGGGAAGGCCCAGACAGCCAGGAUGUUGGCUUAGAAGCAGCCAUCAUUUAAAGAAAGCGUAAUAGCUCACUGGUCGAGUCGGCCUGCGCGGAAGAUGUAACGGGGCUAAACCAUGCACCGAAGCUGCGGCAGCGAACGUAUCACCCAAGACAACUUUACGGAGUUGACGAUUGACGGAGCGAAGCGACGUCAAAGCGUUCAUUAAAGUCGAGUUGGCUUAGGGAUACGUUCGUUGGGUAGGGGAGCGUUCUGUAAGCCUGUGAAGGUGGCCUGUGAGGGUUGCUGGAGGUAUCAGAAGUGCGAAUGCUGACAUAAGUAACGAUAAAGCGGGUGAAAAGCCCGCUCGCCGGAAGACCAAGGGUUCCUGUCCAACGUUAAUCGGGGCAGGGUGAGUCGACCCCUAAGGCGAGGCCGAAAGGCGUAGUCGAUGGGAAACGGGUUAAUAUUCCCGUACUUGGUGUUACUGCGAAGGGGGGACGGAGAAGGCUAUGUUGGCCGGGCGACGGUUGUCCCGGUUUAAGCGUGUAGGUGUGUGUUCCAGGUAAAUCCGGUUCACUUUAACACUGAGGCGUGACGACGAGGCACUACGGUGCUGAAGCAACAAAUGCCCUGCUUCCAGGAAAAGCCUCUAAGCAUCAGGUAACAUCAAAUCGUACCCCAAACCGACACAGGUGGUCAGGUAGAGAAUACCAAGGCGCUUGAGAGAACUCGGGUGAAGGAACUAGGCAAAAUGGUGCCGUAACUUCGGGAGAAGGCACGCUGACACGUAGGUGAAGUGAUUUACUCAUGGAGCUGAAGUCAGUCGAAGAUACCAGCUGGCUGCAACUGUUUAUUAAAAACACAGCACUGUGCAAACACGAAAGUGGACGUAUACGGUGUGACGCCUGCCCGGUGCCGGAAGGUUAAUUGAUGGGGUCAGCGCAAGCGAAGCUCCUGAUCGAAGCCCCGGUAAACGGCGGCCGUAACUAUAACGGUCCUAAGGUAGCGAAAUUCCUUGUCGGGUAAGUUCCGACCUGCACGAAUGGCGUAAUGAUGGCCAGGCUGUCUCCACCCGAGACUCAGUGAAAUUGAACUCGCUGUGAAGAUGCAGUGUACCCGCGGCAAGACGGAAAGACCCCGUGAACCUUUACUAUAGCUUGACACUGAACAUUGAGCCUUGAUGUGUAGGAUAGGUGGGAGGCUUUGAAGUGUGGACGCCAGUCUGCAUGGAGCCGACCUUGAAAUACCACCCUUUAAUGUUUGAUGUUCUAACGUGGACCCGUUACCCGGGUUGCGGACAGUGUCUGGUGGGUAGUUUGACUGGGGCGGUCUCCUCCUAAAGAGUAACGGAGGAGCACGAAGGUUGGCUAAUCCUGGUCGGACAUCAGGAGGUUAGUGCAAUGGCAUAAGCCAGCUUGACUGCGAGCGUGACGGCGCGAGCAGGUGCGAAAGCAGGUCAUAGUGAUCCGGUGGUUCUGAAUGGAAGGGCCAUCGCUCAACGGAUAAAAGGUACUCCGGGGAUAACAGGCUGAUACCGCCCAAGAGUUCAUAUCGACGGCGGUGUUUGGCACCUCGAUGUCGGCUCAUCACAUCCUGGGGCUGAAGUAGGUCCCAAGGGUAUGGCUGUUCGCCAUUUAAAGKGGUACGCGAGCUGGGUUUAGAACGUCGUGAGACAGUUCGGUCCCUAUCUGCCGUGGGCGCUGGAGAACUGAGGGGGGCUGCUCCUAGUACGAGAGGACCGGAGUGGACGCAUCACUGGUGUUCGGGUUGUCAUGCCAAUGGCACUGCCCGGUAGCUAAAUGCGGAAGAGAUAAGUGCUGAAAGCAUCUAAGCACGAAACUUGCCCCGAGAUGAGUUCUCCCUGAGACUUAGAGUCUCCUGAAGGAACGUUGAAGACGACGACGUUGAUAGGCCGGGUGUGUAAGCGCAGCGAUGCGUUGAGCUAACCGGUACUAAUGAACCGUGAGGCUUAACC
rnacentral:rRNA from 1 species